rnacentral:lncRNA from 1 species
GUUCUAACAGAAAUAUAAUUGACUAUGCAGAUAUAGUUAUUUUAUGGUAUACAAAUCAUGUUGCCUUAAUCUCAAUGUCCUAUGACCUAUUUUAUUUUAUAUAGUCGUUCAUUUUUGCCAUCGCUUUUUGUGUUUAUGAGUAUGGAAGUAGUGGGAUUUGGUGUAUCUUAGCAUCUUUGGAAAAUUCUCUUUAAAUGUGGCAAACAAAAAUAUACAUAUAAUCAAGUUUCUUAAUCAACUAUCAUAACUGGCUAGCUAGUUCUUGCCUGCCUUGCUGCCAUUACCCAGGCCAUUACAUUGCAUAGCAUAAGGAAUAGUGAUUAGGUGCUUAUUAGUGAUUCGUUGAGCUUAUUAUUGACAAACCAACAUAUUCGCCUUUACCCACAACUUAGUUUGAUUAGUUAUUGUUGUGUAAUAGACCAAGUUCGUAACCCAACUGAAGCAAUUAAUCAGAUUUACAAAACAAGCAAGAACCCAGAAAACGAACCAGGGGAUACAGUCAAGUAACCAAGAACAAGAAAGAAAACUUAAUCAAGAGAUACAAAACAGAGGUUAACGUGGUUCAGUACCAUGAGUACUUACAUCCACGAUCAGGAACAGUAGAGCUAAAGCUUUAUUAGGAGAUAUCAAGAUUACAAUGGAAUCCACUCAGAGCAAGAAACUAAACUCACACAGAGAAUCUUUCUCAACUCACAAACUAUCUCACUUGACUAACUGAUCAGCUCUCUCUCUCACUGAAGCUAUAAAGCUAGCAGUUUACAGCUGGUUAUAACGACUAACUAAAACCACCUGGGGACCCACCCAUGCUGACUCAGCUUUCCAGCUCAGCUAAUAUAUAUAACCGAAUGUAACUAACUUGAUUCCACAAAUCUCCACCUUAGUUAACUCGGUUAUGGCUUUACUCAUCACUGCUCCAUCACCAGUUAACUUGUCUCACAAGUUAAUAACCCCAAUCAAGUCCAAGGAGUUCCUGAACUUAACUGUUGGCAAAGGUUUUGUUAGCAUGUCUGCUGGAUUUACUUCAGUAGGAAUUUUAAUGACAUUGAUUACACCAUUUCGAAUUUCUUCCCUGAUAAAGUGCAUCCUCACAUCCACAUGUUUUGUUCUUUCAUGGUACUUGGGGUUUUUGCUCAACUGUAUAGCACUUGAGCUAUCACAAUUGACAGUGACUGAUUCUUGUUCCAAACCCAGUUUUGUAACUAACCCCUUCAACCAUAAUGCUUCUUUCACAGCCUCUGUUAAAGCAAUAUACUCUACCUCUGUUGUUGAGAGAGCAAUUACUGAUUGUAAUGUUGACUUCCAGCUCACAGCUCCACCACAGAGAGUAAACACAAGACCAGUGACUGACCUUCUCCUAUCUAAAUCUCCUGCAAAGUCAGAAUCAACAGAUCCCACAACUUGGCUAGAUGCAUUACUAACUUGUCCAAACAUUACUCCAUACUCUUCAGUACUUUUAAGAUACCUUAGUAGCCAUUUAACAGCUUCCCAAUGUUCCUUGUCUGGAUUCCCCAUGAACCUGCUGACAAGACCAAUUCCAUAGGCAACAUCUGGUCUGGUACAGACCAUAGCAUACAUAAUGCUACCAACUGCACUGGAGUAGGAAUUCUCCUCAUGAGAUCAAUGUCUGCUUCUUCUCCUGGUUCCUGCUGUUUAGAAAGUUUGAAGUGUGCUGCUACUGGGGUAGUGACAGGCUUUGAGUUCACCAUCCCAAAUCUACUGACAACCUUUUUCAAAUAUCCAGAUUGUGUGAGAAAUAGAGUCUUGGCAUGUCUGUCCCUUUUGAUUUGCAUUCCCAGUAUCUUAGCAGCAGGACCCAAAUCCUUUAUUUCAAACACUGCCAUUAGCUCAGUGGGUGAGGAUAUUUCUUUACAGAAGGUAUUGGAAACUGUUUUUUACAUUAAUUAUUGUUGUAUAUAUACUUUAAUUUUCACAUCUUUUUCUCUGAUUCUUGUCACUUUACUUGCUUUCAUAUACAUAAAUUCUAAUGAAAUUAACCAUAAAAUUGUAUAAUGAUUUUGGGGCCAUAUCAUAAUUUUAGAAAGUUUGGGAAAGACGACUAUUCUUAGGAAGUUCUGAAAUUGGAUCUAUUUGUAAAGUUUUAUGACAUUUUGAGCCAUAGUAUAAUUAUAGAAAGUUUUGGGUCAAAGUAUAAAUUUAGUGAACAGAGUUACUGUAGCAAAUUCAAAAAUAACGGUAAUAUCACUGUUCCUGAGCGGCUAGCCGGAUAAUCAAGCGGCUAACCGCUUGGGCGCGGGAAUUUACCUAUAACGGCUAGUUUUCGGGCUUUCACUAUUAAAACUCAACUCAAACUUCAUUCCUUAAACGAAUGCAAGGAAAAACAAGAUCAUAUAACAUAUAUUGAGCUUCCAUUUCGCAAAUCAUCAUUGAUUGAAUGAUCAUUGAGCUAUAAUUUGUUAUCUACUCUUAAAGAGAGUUUCAUUGUUGUGAUUUUCAUUUCUCAUCAAAUUGUGAGUGUACAAGUGUGAGAAACAGCCUUUAUUUGGGUGGUGUUAGAACUUUUAGUUUUUAAAUUUAUAAAACAUUAAAAAUUAGCUUUUAGUUUUUAAAAUCACUUUUGAGCUUCCCAAAAACAAUCCUAACAUGCCUUUAUUUGGGUGGUGUUAGAACUUUUAGUUUUUAAAUUUAUAAAACAUUAAAAAUUAGCUUUUAGUUUUUAAAAUCACUUUUGAGCUUCCCAAAAACAAUCCUAACAUGCCUUUAUUUGGGUGGUGUUAGAACUUUUAGUUUUUAAAUUUAUAAAACAUUAAAAAUUAGCUUUUAGUUUUUAAAAUCACUUUUGAGCUUCCCAAAAACAAUCCUAACAUGCCUUUAUUUGGGUGGUGUUAGAACUUGUAACUUUUGGAUCUUUUAGUUUUUAUUGGUUGGAUACAAUAUUGUGACUUGAGCGUCGGAGGGUUUUCACCGGAAAAACUUCUAGCGCCCCCUGACUGUUCUUUGUGCUUGCAUGCUCGCGGGUUAUCUGCUCAUGGAUCAUCUGCUCAUAGAACAUCUGCUCACGGUGCUCACUGAUCAGCAGCUCGUGGAUUAUCUGCUCAUGGUGCUCACUAAUCAGCAGCUCAUAGAUUAUCGGCUCAUGAAUUAUCUGCUCAUGGUUAGAGGAUUUUCUUGAAGAUUAAUAAGCCGCUUCUUCACCAAACAAAUUUAUUGUUGAUGCGGGGAUGUGGUUUUGAGUCAACAACCAACUCAACCAGAUUUCUGCAUCAACAUAAAGUAUUAAUCAGCUUAAUUAAUUUAUAAAAUUUAAAUCUAAUUAAUAAGUGACACAUAAAUGCCAAGUGCAAUAUAUGCAAAUCCUGUUUGUCGAUCAUUACAAAACUGGCUCUUGAAAACAAGCAAGAAAGCUUAAUUAAGAACUUAAAACAAAAAGUAUUAGAUUGAGGAUAGUCAAGCCUUAUUUUUUCAAGGAUGGAGCUUAUAAAUCUUCAAGUACCAACAUAUGCUUGGCCCAAUUGUUGUUUUUAAAAUUUCAAAAUAUAAGUAUGACAUAGCAAAAAUUUGAUGGUACAUGUGUCGGAAUAUACUAGCUAGUUCAUGGAUGCAUUUGAUUACUAUUUCCAUAAAUUUGAACUAAGAAGAAUGACACGAGAAAAUUUGAUUUUAUUAUAUGGUUGAUUUCAUAUCUCAUGCACUCAUUUCUUAAGAUAAUUAGAUUUUCUCUGGCAUCUUUUGCAAAUGUGGAAAUAUCAAUUAUGAUCAAUCAAAACGAUCUCAAAACUUUUUAACGAGACAUAUUUAUAAUACAAUAUUAUGAAAAUUACACCAAAAAUUUGAUUUAUUAUAUAUUAUUAUCCAACGAGCACACAAAAAUGAAUUCAUACAAAUCUAUAAUACUUAGCAAUUUUCAAAUAGAAUUUACCAUGUACUAUAAGAAAAUAUGGUAUAUGUGACCCCUAUUGUGAAUGCAAAAGCAGCCAUUACGUAUAUCACUAACUUCUAACUUUGUAACCCUGAGUUGCUUUUGUUACCCUUUAUGUGACGGCCAUACUGCUGUCACAUAUGUUACUAACCACGUGACGGUAAAGAGCCGUUCCGUAUACUACUAUUUUAGAAUUUUAAAUUUAUUUCCAGUUGGAAAACUAUUCGCUGGAUUACGAGUUUAAAUGCUGUUUAUUGUCAAUUUUUGUCUCGCCAGCAAUUGUUUUUAUUCCUACAAGUUGAAGCCCCUGUGUUCUUGUUCCAUUGGUGUGUUUGCUCACUCAAAUUAAUUUUGUUCUACAAAGUUCAAAUGGAUUCAUUUGAAUCACUAUUGAAUUCAGCUUUAAUUCCAACAACCAUUCUAAUGUUUUGUUAUUAGAUUUACUUUAAUUUUAUGUUUAAAGCUUCUACAAUGAAUAGCGGAGCUUGGGUUUUAGUUUCAUUUUCUAGAUAACUUGUUUAUCUUGUAUGCUCACCAAGUGCAUGUUAUAUUGUCUGAUAAGUUAUAUAUAUUGCUGAUUCUAUAUUAAUAAUGUUACGUUCUAUUUUCAGAAAUUAUAAUAUAAACUGAAUUAACUUGUAGAAUAAGAGCUUGGAGUAGUGUUAUGUUCUUGAAUAAAUGAAAGUCCAUAUUGUGUAAGAGCAUGUAGAUGUAAAGCGUCAUUGCCAUUUCUAUAAAGGUUCUGUUCAGAUGCUCCUCUUGAACUCUGAAAGGUGCCUCAUUCAAGUCCUAGCUAUAACUACUAGCUUUGAUUAAUUAAUUUCCUGUACUAGCAGAAACAGAUUUAUUUAUUUAAAUAAUUGUCUAUGUACUAAUUAUAAUGAAAGUAUAUGAAGAAAUUUUUUAACAUGAAUGACUUCUAAAUGACUUAAAAACCUAAAGGAUAUGAGAAAUAAUGCUCAUUUCACUUGAACGAGCCUAUUAAUACUUGUAUGUCUAUGAUUGUUAAUAUUGGCUUAAGCAUUUCAGUUAAAUGGUUUACAUAACAGGGAAAAAAAUUUAAAUGAAAACUUUAGAGUUCUAACAGAAAUAUAAUUGACUAUGCAGAUAUAGUUAUUUUAUGGUAUACAAAUCAUGUUGCCUUAAUCUCAAUGUCCUAUGACCUAUUUUAUUUUAUAUAGUCAGGUUGAAAAGUCACAGGAUUGUGCCUUAAGUAUUUUUUUUUUUUUUUCACUUUUUGAUUUGGUGCCUCGAGUAAUUGAAAAGCCACGAAAAAUUAAUAGUUCAACCCGUGAUUGGUUUGGCUGGAAAUUGUACCCUUUUGUUAGAUCCUUGUUUUGUUAAUCAAAGAAUUUUACCUCAGGUAGAAAAAAAAAAAAAAAGAUGCCUUUGUUGUUGCUAAAGAGUUAAUAAAUAAAUACAGUACUGAAUUAUCAACCUUAGAAAACCUCCAUUAUACAUUUCUGAAUCACG